UACGGAAGGCAGCAGUGGGGAAGUAUUGCACAAUGGGCGCAAGCCUGAUGCAGCCAUGCCGCGUGUAUGAAAAAGGCCUUCGGGUUGUAAAGUACUUUCAGUCGUGAGGAAAGGUAGUUAAGGUUAAUAACCUUAGCAAUUGAACGUUAGCGACAGAAGAAGCACCGGCUAACUCCGUGCCAGCAGCCGCGGUAAUACGGAGGGUGCGAGCGUUAAUCGGAAUUACUGGGCGUAAAGGGCUACGCAGGCGGUUAAUUAAGUUGGAUGUGAAAUCCCCGGGCUUAACCUGGGAAUGGCAUUCAAGACUGGUUAGCUAGAGUCUUGUAGAGGGGGUAGAAUUCCAUGUGUAGCGGUGAAAUGCGUAGAGAUGUGGAGGAAUACCGGUGGCGAAGGCGGCCCCUGGACAAAGACUGACGCUCAUGUGCGAAAGCGUGGGGAGCAAACAGGGAUUAGAUACC
rnacentral:rRNA from 1 species